GAUGAACGCUGGCGGCGUGCCUAAUACAUGCAAGUCGAGCGAAUGGAUCAAGAGCUUGCUCUUAUGAAGUUAGCGGCGGACGGGUGAGUAACACGUGGGUAACCUGCCCAUAAGACUGGGAUAACUCCGGGAAACCGGGGCUAAUACCGGAUAACAUUUUGAACCGCAUGGUUCGAAAUUGAAAGGCGGCUUCGGCUGUCACUUAUGGAUGGACCCGCGUCGCAUUAGCUAGUUGGUGAGGUAACGGCUCAACAAGGCAACGAUGCGUAGCCGACCUGAGAGGGUGAUCGGCCACACUGGGACUGAGACACGGCCCAGACUCCUACGGGAGGCAGCAGUAGGGAAUCUUCCGCAAUUGACGAAAGUCUGACGGAGCAACGCCGCGUGAGUGAUGAAGGCUUUCGGGUCGUAAAACUCUGUUGUUAGGGAAGAACAAGUGCUAGUUGAAUAAGCUGGCACCUUGACGGUACCUAACCAGAAAGCCACGGCUAACUACGUGCCAGCCGCCGCCAGCG
rnacentral:rRNA from 1 species